rnacentral:rRNA from 1 species
CUGUUCCCAUUCCGAACACAGUAGUUAAGCUCAUUAACGGUGAAAAUACUUGGCUGGAGACGGCCCGGGAAAAUAACACGGCGCGCACA